AAUAGUUCCUGCACCGUGCACCUUCACCACGUUGCCCCGUUGUGCUCCAGCCCCUGGGCUACGCUGUUCCCUGGGGUGAUGCCCGCUUGCCUCCACGUUGUGCUUGGGUGGCCAAGACUGAGGUGUCAAGGCCCUUCCAGGAAGGGGCACCAACAGUUCACGAUCUGGAAUGUAUCAGCACCCCCUCCCAACAACUGGAGAUGUAAAAUUUUGCAAUAUUAAGACCAUCAGAAAGCUCUAUGAGAAUAAAAUACUGAAGAUGAGAUGUAUGAUGGCUAGCUGUCUUCUUACCAUGUGCCUGAUCCACAAAUAACAGAAGAAUGAAGACAACUGAAAAAAAGUACAGUUCUGAUCAGAACAGCAUUGUGUUGUUGAAUGUCAGCUGACUGUCAAAUAGUCUUUCUCUUCUUGUUCCUUAUUACCUUCAAUUCAUGUAGGUUUCUAAAUUUCUGUUCUAUAUUUUUACUUCCUAUUGUGCUUUCCAAGUCUUCUGCAAUUAAGCGGUCACACAAACAGAUACUACUGAUUUUCUUAUGUCAAGCACUGAGAUUCAUAAUCCACUGUACAGAGAGCAGAAAGUUAAACAAAGUAUAGGAAAAAUAUUUUGAUCUAUUCAAAAAUGUUUCCAAGGAGAACAUUUUUCAUAAGUACUUAGCUUGUAGAUGCAAUAAUUCCUCUUUGGAACAAAACUAACAAUGCUAGAUUAUGAAUAGUAGAGCACUGGCAGCUCCAUAGUUUUAGUUCCUUGUGCUAAAUGAAGCCAAAGCAAGCCUACUGUGAUUGAUAGAGCUGCCUCUGCAAAGAACAGGUCUAGAGAAAACAGAUUUCCACAAAUGAAGAUGUUAACAGGCAGAAGAGGAACUGAAAUGCAUCCACUUCAAAAUAAAUGCCAAGUCACAGAGCAGGAACCGAACUGUGAGUGAUGCUAGGGAUGGGGCUUAUUACCUAAGGAAGUAUAACAUAAUACAGAAAGGUCCAGUGGAAAGCUGAGAUGUUUUUCAUGAAAUAAAGCUUAAAACUUAAAAAACAAACAAACAAACAAACAAAACCUAAGAGUGCAAAAGGAUAGAAUGAAUUGUAUCACUUUCCAUGCUUUUCUAAGGCUCGGUCCAAGGAAGAAGUAUGAAUUUUUUCAAAACUCAUGCCAUGCUUAUGUUGUAUCUGUGGGAUUCCUGCUGAUGUCACCAUGACACUGAAAGCACACUAUCUUCACAUAAUGCGAAUGUCAUGAUACUUGAAAAAUAGUGAGAUACGUACCACAGUUAAGAGAUCUGCCUUGCAGACAAGUGAAGGCAACUUUGUUCUUGGUCAUCAAUAAACUUCCCGUCACAUGCAUCGCUCCCGGCCCCACUGACUGCAGUCCUGGUGAAAUUCCUUCUUUCAUGAUUGGUGAAGUGCCUGUAGCUGGAUAACAGAGGUUGGUGAUUUUCUAAAUGUCAGUAUUAGCAGAGUGUAAAUGACGAGAGUAGACAAGGAGUGUAAUGCAUGCGUGUAACACUUUGAUGUGUGCAGAUUAAAUAUUUUACAAGAUGAAUCAUUUCCUCGUGCGUCAAAUACAUUUUUUUUCUGUUUGCUUGUUUGGUUUUUUAAAAUAGUUGCAUUAUUACAUUUUUUACAAUGAAAGCAAAGACAUUUUACUUGUAAACUCAGUCACAUCUCUUACAGCUCCUUUCACCCUGCUCCUUUCACUUGCUGGCUGGCUGCAUGACCAAGUGCUCACACAGCAUGAUGCGAUAUGUGAUAUGAUAAGAGCGUACGUGGAAACACACACUUGUAGUUCACAGAGAUUCUAUCAACGUCCUUUUGCUAUUUGUCUCUAGGGCAAACAUCUCUUCAGCUACACACCUGGCCUAGAUGAUACCUCCCACUUCAAACCCUGCUUGUUGUGACAGUGCCUGGUAUGACAAUCCCGCAGAGCAUGAGAUUUGACAAAGCAAAUAGUUCAGAAAACAUCUAUCCCUUCUAAGUCAGACUGCUGUUUGAAAGUAAUUUUCCUUCAGUUACAUAGGGGAAAGGUAUUGAUUGGAUUUGUAGGCUUGGAAAAUCAGUCUGGUGUGAUUUUUUUUUACCAAGGCUACAAGGCCUACGUUUAGUUGUCAUCUUCACUGUUUUACCUGGAGCUAGCUUGCAUCUCUGCACUGCUACUCUUGCAGAAGGAUGAUGGGAAGAGGGAUUACUGAAUCUGACAUUGUAAACAUGGAAAAAAAAAUAUUCCACAGGUACCUGAGUGUGGGAAAAACACGCAGCAGAGUGCUUACACAGCCCUCUGUCACUGAGUUAUCCUGUUUUCAGUGGAUCUUGUUCUGCUGUCCAGAAGAAAGAUACUGGUGGACAACAAGCUGGAUAUGAGCCAGCAACGUGCCUUUGUAGCCCAGGAAGCCAACUGUAUCCUGGGCUGCAUGAAAAGAGGUGUGGUCAGCAGGGCAAGGGAACUUUUCCUUUAGGAAACAGGAAACAAGGCCACUUAAGCAGUAAAACUUAAGUGUAACAGUUAGAACAAUAUCAGUGUGAAUCUAUGUCAUUUUGAAUGAAAAAAAAAAAAAAAAAGCAGUGCCAAACCAACACAUGACACUUAACUGAAAAUCAGCCCUCGAUUUCUAGUGUUAAUUAUUUUAAGUCAGCAUUGCAUUUCAUUUCCAUAAGAAGGGGAUAAGGAAGGUUACAAAUCUGUGUAAUCUACUGUGAAUGAAUUCUUAUUUCAAAGCUCUCCAGCCCACGGUAUUUAAAUGAUGCCAUCACUGAAUAUUUUUCCCCAG
ensembl:lncRNA